GUGGGGAAUUUUGGACAAUGGGCGCAAGCCUGAUCCAGCAAUGCCGCGUGCAGGAAGAAGGCCUUCGGGUUGUAAACUGCUUUUGUACGGAACGAAAAGGCUCUGGUUAAUACCUGGGGCUCAUGACGGUACCGUAAGAAUAAGCACCGGCUAACUACGUGCCAGCAGCCGCGGUAAUACGUAGGGUGCAAGCGUUAAUCGGAAUUACUGGGCGUAAAGCGUGCGCAGGCGGUUUUGUAAGACAGACGUGAAAUCCCCGGGCUCAACCUGGGAAUGGCGUUUGUGACUGCAAAGCUGGAGUGCGGCAGAGGGGGAUGGAAGUCCGCGUGUAGCAGUGAAAUGCGUAGAUAUGCGGAGGAACACCGAUGGCGAAGGCAAUCCCCUGGGCCUGCACUGACGCUCAUGCACGAAAGCGUGGGGAGCAAACAGGAUUAGAUACCCCGGUAGUCC
rnacentral:rRNA from 1 species